AAUCAAUAGGACAAUUUGCUGAGGUCUGGGAGCACCCUCCCCAAAGAAUCCCUGAUCUCCCCAAAUUUGGUGAAGAACUAAAGUUCAUUUUGCUGUACAACUGCCCCACCUAUUUUUGUUUUUGGAGUUUUACUUGCUUACUUGCCUUCCUUAUAAGGAAGGCAAGAUUUACUUUUACUUCCUUUACAAGGAAGGCAAGAUUUCCUGCUUCCAUGAUGAUGAAAGGCAUGUAGAGUUUGAGCUCACUCCCAGCAGGGAAGACCAGUUUGAGUUUUUUUCCUGCUUCUAGGGUGGUAGAAAGCAGCCUUCAGCCUGAGACCCAUCCCUAGAAGAGAAAGAAAAGAAGGAAAGAAAGCAAGCAAGCAAGAAAGCAAGCAAGCAAGAAAGAAAGAAAGAAAGAAAGAAAGAAAGAAAGAAAGAAAGAAAGAAAGAAAGAAAGAAAAGAAAAAGAAAGAAAAGAAGAGCCUUAAGGUCAACCUACAAACUACAGAGUUCCUAAGUUCUCUUUUUUCUCUAUUUUCUUUUCUGCCUGCUUUAAAUCUGCUGUUAUUUUUCUAUUAAGAUCAAAACCACUGUUUGGAUACAACAGGCUUUUUGUUUGCAACCUGGUGAAUUUGUAUUUGUCUCAUGGCUAAAGUUCUGAAGUAAAAGCUAUAGGAUUUCUGUGUGUGUGUUUGUGUGUGUGUGUGUGUGUGUGUGUGUAUCUAUUUAAAAGGCCUUUAUAAUUUUUAUAAUUUUAUGUUUAAUUGGCAAUUAAAUCCAUUUUGACUUCCCUCUAGCACCACCAGACUUUUUCUCUCUGUACCUUAUGAUAUAAUUUUGCUAUUUGAUUUUUGCCUGAGUUGUUUCCUUUAACAUGCAAACUUAAGGCUAUUUAGCUGACAACUCCCUAGGGGAGUAAAACAGGUUAUUAAGAAUUUGAAAGCCUAAGAUAGGGGAAAAAAGCUCCUUAAGUAUCUAUACGAUGUACUUCUAUCAGCAUGCCUACUAUGUCUAUAUAUUUAUGUGAUGUGUACACAAUUUCUCGCUACUGAAAAUAUAUAAAAGAGUUCUAAUUAAUUGGCUUAAGAUAAAAAGCACUUGAAUCUAAUACUUUAUCAGGAAAAAAGAAAAGACUAGUUGAAUGCUUUCUGAAGUUUAUGUAACAAGUAAAAUCUUUAAUAAAUAAGCUAGCUUUAAAAUUAUUGGUAAAGUAAUAUUAGACAUGUCUUAAAAAUUGCCAGCAUGCAUUUUUGUUUGCAUUUAUUAAUCAAGCAAUUUCAUGCUUAUCCCUGUCAAAUACCAUAAGGUGUCAAAAUUUGCCAUGGAGUUACAAAACUGUAAUAGAAUGAUCUUUGCUUGUAUAAUCUUUAAUAAAUAAGACAUUGAUAUUGGUUUAAUAAAAAUAGUCACAUCUUGAAUUUAGUGAGAUUACUGUAACUUCUAAUUUUGUGGUUUUGGUGGUCUAGUCCACAGGCAGUAAGAUUUAGUUUGAGAAUGAACUGUUAUAAUCUUUGUUUCAAAGGUAAACUAUAAACUAUGUUCCUCUCAACGUCUGUUCAGCCUGUGCCCAGGAUUGAACAAGAACAGUUUGGAGGUUAGAAGCAAGAUGGAGUCAAUUAGGUCAGAUCUUUUUCACUGUCUCAGUUAUAAUUUUGCAAUGGCAGUUCCAUAACUUUAAAUGAUGACUAUUGCAGUUUUCAUAAAUAAUCUAGGUAAACAAUUCCUUUUUAAAAAGGUGAACAAUUGUCAUCUAAUUCAAUGCUUAUUUAAAGAUUAUGUAUAAGACAAGUUAAAAGGAACCAGGAAAUCAGAGAGAUGUAAAGAAAGGUAUAAAAAUAAAGAGGAUAAAGAGGGUUCUUUUUGGUAAGGAAGCUUAAAGAGAAAUAAUUUCAUAUGAGAAAAGAUCUUGUAUGGUAAAUUUAGACCUAAAAUAAAAUGAUUGUUUAAGAAAGAUGGAUGUUCAAAACAAACCAGAAAGUCCAAGCAUAUCAUGAACAGUCUGUAAAAGUCAUAAUAAGAGGAUUAAAAAAAAAACCAACAAACUUUUAUAUGGUCAAGUUGUCUGUAAUUAAAAGGAAAUUAUAAUAGUCUUCCUGAAGAUUGGGCUUCAUGUAAAAAAAAAAAAGCAAUGAUAAACAAAAUAGUUAGAGCGAUGAAAUUUUCUUAAGGGAUUGAUUUACUCUUAUUAAAUUAUAAGAGAUUUUAAUUUUUUUAACCCAAAGUUCAACUGUUUACUCGCUGUUUUCUCUCCCCUUCAACUCGUUUGCAGCUCAUAUAAGUUAUUUUCCUUAAAUUCUAUUUGUUAUGGUCUGAUGCUAACAAUGUUUUCUAAAAGUCUAAAGAAAAUGUUUUCUUCCAAAGUAAUAUUCUGUGCAGUGUAGAAGGUCUUUUCUUUUGCCUUUGGGUAAUUGACCUAACAGAUUUUAUGGCUUAUUGAAACAAUGCUAUGCUGUUAUUAUUAAUUUUUGAUUUGCUCAGGAAAAAGUAUCUGAGAUAAUUUUUUAAAAUUAAGGUUAUUACAUCCAUGUAUAUUUCUGUAGGUGCUUUGAAAGUACCUGUGACAUUAAGUUACAGGCCUUUGACUCCUGGGUCUAAAAAGGACACCAAGGUCUGCUAAAUCUUAAGCACUGACAGCAAUUAAAACCUCAUCUUCAGGCCUGGUAGAAGAUGCCAAUCAAAAUAAACUGCAUUCCUGAGACAUAAGGCCAGAAGUAAAAGCUAUUCAACUCCUCAAGGCUCAGGAACUACCACAGAAGAGGCAAGUUUCUAAUAACUUUGGAGACUGUGACAUCAGAAUGGAGGAAAAGCUUUCAGAACUCAUGGAGACCUGAAAUGUUCAUGAAUAGCAAGCAGAACAGGAAUUAACUGCAUGAACUGAACUAAUAGAAGAGCAACGUAAUCUUUUUGACUUUUUGCUUAAAAUGUUGCUGCUCCUUGUUUUCCUUUUUUUAGUCAAGGAAACUUUUAUUUGAGCUGUUGUCAGCUUUUAACAAGUUAGUAUACUCCUGUGAAAAAUAUUUGGAGCAUAUUUGUUUCUCUCUACCUGAUUUUCCCCAGAAUUGGAAACUAUCUGUGAGUAUUCUUAACUUAUGGCAAUACAGUUAUUUGCAUAAGUGCAAUAAUAAUCUGUUUUCAUGUGUAACAAGACACAAUUGGAGAAAUUGGUCAUUUUACCAAGGCUUUGACUGGAAUGGUGUGCUCUCCUUUAAGGAAUCAAAUUUGACUUAUGGAGCCAAUAAAAGCCCCUUGGGAGAACUGGCCUCAUACCUUAUCUACACAGUCCCUGUACAGGGUUCCUGACCUGUGGUAAGUAAAGCAUGUCACUUUCUAACAGUUCCAGGAGCCCCAAGUUUAUCUUGGAACCUCAAGAGCAGAGGAAUUCAUGCAACUCAUAGGUAUUUGAUGGUACAAAUCCAUGGCUAGGCUAAGCUUUCCAAAAGUCUUAUCCGAAAUUCCUUCUAUGGAACAAAGUUCUGAUAGGGACAGGGGGCUGAGAAAUUCUAGGCAGAAAAGGGUAGGUCUCUGACAAAACCCCACCUUCAAGCUGAAAAGCCUUAAACCACGGCCCAAAGUGAGAACUUAUAUCCCUGUUUUCCUGCUUGAAAGUUGCCUUUUUCUAAACCACUCAUGGCUCCAUCCUGUCCAUCCUAUGCCUGUGAAGAUGCCAGACUCAGCUGGCAGAGGCAAGAAGCAGCUGGACAUUGGGAACUACAGCUGGACGUCAGAGAGAAGCAGCUUGAUUCAGAGGGACAGCUUGAUGGUGUAAUCUUGGAGAAGAAUCCAGCUGGAUACAGCCUAACUUUGAGGAAGAUUACCUACCCACCCCAUCCUUUUUCAGCUCCGCUUUCUGCUAAGAGCCACUUUCAUCAGCAACAAAAUCCCCCACAUUUACCAUCCUUUGAUUGGUUCAUGUGACCUCACUUUUCCUGGACACAAGACAAGAGCUUGGGAGCCAGGAGAGCAGAUACAAAAGACUGUCACACUGGCCCUCUGCCCUUGCUGGUGGAGGGCAGCUGCCUCACACAAAAAGGCAGAGGCCUCACUGAGCUGUUGACACUUAAGCCAUCCAUGGAAGGCAGAGUUAAAAGAACACUGUAACAUGCCCUCUGGGGCUAUGGGGGUCGCAGGCACCCCCACCUAGAUGCUGCUGUGGGGCCCACACAGAGUUUGCUCCUGCCGGUGGCCAAAAGCACUCACUUUGGCUCCUGCACUGAUUCACCUGCAUGCUUCCUCCCACAAGCAGGGGACUGCAGCAGGUCCCAGUGAGUGAAGUUUGAUCCUACCGUGCUGCAGUGCCGAUUCCAGCACACGUGCACUCCAGUUCCUGCCUCAUUUGCUUGCAUGCUCGCUCCUGCAAGGAGUUGAGAGUGGCAGGCUGAAUAAACGAGGCACCCGUCACAAGUCCCACAAAGGGGUCAGGGAAACAUCCUGCUUCAGUUCCAUCAAAGGCAAUUUAAAAGCUUAUGCAAAAAAAAAGUAUUACUAUGGCUGCGCUGUAUACAAAUAAUCAGGUCAAGUAUAAUAAAGAAAAUCAGCCCUGCCAUGAUUUGUCUUUAGUAAAAAUGGGAAAUGGGAGAGAGAAGAAUUAUGUUUCAAAAAAUGAUAAUACACCUGUUGUUAGAUUCUAGUCUUGCCUAAUGUUUUCCCAUUUUUAUUAUUUUCUACAGUUUCCACUGAAUUCUAAUUUUUCUUGGCUACAGGUCUUCAAAAGAUUGUUUUCAGUUUUUUUUUCUUCUUCUUUCCCCCAUUUUUCCUAAUUUGGAGUCACUGAAAACUCAUCUGUGCUUUUGUAAAGCCCUGCGAACUGGAGCUAGAGAAUUUAAACUUCAGAAGAAAAUACCAGCAACCUGUUUACAUACAUAAGCCACUUUCAUACCUGCCUACUGAUGUAUGGACUUCAGAGUAAUGUGGCCCAUAUUGAUUUUCCAGGAUUGUUCUUUUGUUUAUUUUUGUUUUUCUCCCUUCCUCCCCCUAUUUUCUCUUCAUAGGACAUGAAACUUCACAACCUGCUAAAAAUGAACUUUCCUAAUAACUCAGGAAUUAUCUUUCUAGGAAUAAACAAUCCUAGCCAUGAGAUAUCAGAUGAAACUUGAGACCAAAGACUGACUUUCUUCAAAAAGGCUUUCUCAAAAAGAUUUUUAAGAAAAGGGGGGAAAUUUGAAAGGAAAAUAAACCUUGGGGCCCUGAAAUCACUAAGGUAAAGGGGAAAGUCAAGCUGGGAACUGCUUAGGGCAAACCUGCCUCCCAUUCUAUUCACAGUCACCCCUCUGCUCACUGAGUUAAAUGCAUAUCUGAUUGCCUCCUUUGGAAAGGCUAAUCAGAAACUCUAAAGAAAGCAACCAUUUGUCUCUUAUCUACCUAUGACCUGGAAGCCCCUCCCCGCUUAGACUUGUCCCGCCUUUUCCGGACGGAACCACUGUUCAUCUUACAUAUGUUGAUUGAUGUCUCAUGUCUCCCUAAAAUGUAUAAAACCAAGCUGUGCUCUGACCACUUUGGGCACAUGUCUUCAGAACCUCCUGAGGCUGUGUCACAGGUGUACAUCCCCAACCUUGGCAAAAUAAACUUUCUAAAUAAACUGAGACCUGUCUCCGAUUUUGGGGGUUCACAAGGCCAUACUGACUUGUCCCCUGUGUGAAGCCCAGCAGGAUCCUUUCACAGCAAGCUCUUUUCACUUGAACCUUUGUGCAUCAGUGCCUAACUCUUUCACAAGAUAAGGGGUCCUACAGAAUCGAAGCAGACCCACCAGAGGGUUACAAGUUCCUGAUACCUAGUACAACCUGGGAAAGAGAGCAAAAGCCCUUUAUUCCUGAUGCAGCUUCCCCAAUCUCUAGCCAAUUUGCACCAAAAGCCCAAGAAACUCCUAACUACAAAUUCCUUCCUGGGGUGGGGUGUUUGGGAGGGUGGGCAGGGACUUCUCUGGGGUCCUGCAUGCACAGCUAGGAUCAAGGUUCAGCUUAUAGUAACCAUUUCCUCAUUUUAAUAGUAAAAACAACCACAACAAGAAAAACACCCCAAGGCGGAGAUUUCAUAUGCUAAUGAUACAUGCGAUGGGUGUUAGACCACGUGGAUCCUGAGCACAUGUGCCAACCGCAGGUCUGCCUUUGCAUACUUGACCUCACCAGUAUUUUAUGAUUAUGUACGUAUAGCUCCCAUAAAAGGAAUUCCUCUUACAGCACUAGCUGCUGUCUCUCCCACUGAGCACCCCACUCUGCCUCUCAAAGAGUACUUUUGCUUUGCAACAAAUUUCUUCGCUUACUCUUACUUUGGAUUUGCUCUCAAAUUCUUUUGCACAGCAAAUUCAAGAACCUGAACUGGUCCACCGACAACAAAAUAACAAAAUUCCCUUAUAUAACAUUUGGAGUCUGCCUUAACUGAUUUGAAUCAAGAUGGAAUGCAGUAGGAUGAGAUGUGCCUUUUAAAUUUGACACAGAAGAGUGAGGAGUAUUACCAUGAUAUCAUAAGUUCUAAAAUCAUGGAUGAACUUACAAACAACAAUACUGGGGCUUUACCUAUCCCAAAGCAUUCCAUAUAUCAAAUUGAAACAAUCAAAAGCUUCUAUUUUAUUUUAGUUUAUGCGUGACAUUGGAGCAGUUUGGCACUAUGAGUUCAUCCCUGAAGUCUUACUUUGGAAUCAUGCUUUGAGAAUCCCCUUCUACUGCAUUCCCACCUCACCCCCAUGAAUCAGUAAACUCAGUGAAAAUUAUCACAAAAA
rnacentral:lncRNA from 10 species